GUGGGGAAUAUUGCACAAUGGGCGCAAGCCUGAUGCAGCGACGCCGCGUGGGGGAUGACGGCCUUCGGGUUGUAAACCUCUUUCGACUCCGAAGAAGCGUAAGUGACGGUAGGGGUAGAAGAAGCACCGGCUAACUACGUGCCAGCAGCCGCGGUAAUACGUAGGGUGCGAGCGUUGUCCGGAAUUAUUGGGCGUAAAGAGCUUGUAGGCGGUUUGUCGCGUCUGUCGUGAAAACCAGGGGCUUAACUCCUGGCGUGCGGUGGGUACGGGCAGGCUAGAGUGUGGUAGGGGAGACUGGAAUUCCUGGUGUAGCGGUGAAAUGCGCAGAUAUCAGGAGGAACACCGAUGGCGAAGGCAGGUCUCUGGGCCAUUACUGACGCUGAGAAGCGAAAGCAUGGGGAGCGAACAGGAUUAGAAACCCUAGUAGUCC
rnacentral:rRNA from 1 species